GACGAACGCUGGCGGCGUGCCUAAUACAUGCAAGUAGAACGCACAGUUUAUACCGUAGCUUGCUACACCAUAGACUGUGAGUUGCGAACGGGUGAGUAACGCGUAGGUAACCUGCCUGGUAGCGGGGGAUAACUAUUGGAAACGAUAGCUAAUACCGCAUAAUAUUGAUUAUUGCAUGAUAAUUAAUUGAAAGGUGCAAUUGCACCACUACCAGAUGGACCUGCGUUGUAUUAGCUAGUAGGUGAGGUAACGGCUCACCUAGGCGACGAUACAUAGCCGACCUGAGAGGGUGAUCGGCCACACUGGGACUGAGACACGGCCCAGACUCCUACGGGAGGCAGCAGUAGGGAAUCUUCGGCAAUGGACGAAAGUCGGACCGAGCAACGCCGCGUGAGUGAAGAAGGUUGUCGGAUCGUAAAGCUCUGUUGUAAGAGAAGAACGGGGGUGAGAGUGGAAAGUUCACACUGUGACGGUAUCUUACCAGAAAGGGACGGCUAACUACGUG
rnacentral:rRNA from 1 species